GGCUCUUACCACUUUUGGCAUCUGUAAUGUGCUCCCCUCAUUUUCCUUGAUAGAUAAAGUCUUUCUGCAAUCUCACUUAAAGUGUUGUUGCCAAAUUAAGGACCUUGACAAACCCUGUGGAGCUCAUAAACCGCUUGAGAUCCUUUAAAGAGAAUGUUUUUUCUUCAUCCCCAUAUCCUGUUAUAAUUACUCUUGAAGACCACCUGACACCAGAUCUUCAGGCUAAAGUAGCUAAGAAUGAUAGUGAUGCAAGUGAAGAUGAUGUCGAUGAUCAAGAGCGGCUUUCAGAAGCAUCUGACAAUAGGAGCCUAAUUGCCAUUCAUGUUUAAAACUAAGCGCCUUUGUUCAAGAAGCUGGCUUGCAGAGAUUGUUGAACCUUUCGCUGGCCAUUGUAGACAUAUAUACUUCUGGUGAUGCGAUCCUCGCAGAAUAGUCGAAUUGUUACUUUGUUUGCAGAGUAAAGGUUUGAGUGUGUGUGUGUUUAUACAUAUAUGUUCUGCACAUGUUAAUCCCAUCCUCGCUCUUUACAAUUUGUAGGUAUCUGAAGAUACAAGUGAGUUGUGAAACACUUGAUUGUAUAAAAUAGGCCAAAGGACUAUUUCCCACCCAAAGUAUGCA